ACUUAAAAAGCUUCUAUCUUUCGUAAAGGUUAUAUGUUUACACACUUCAAUAGUAUUUGCCAUACGACAUUGUAUAGUCAGUGUCCCACAUUACAGAUGGAUCAAUCAUGACAGCACGCAAUUCGAAAAAAAAUUCCAUUGUUUUUGUAUUUUAAUGUAGUUUGGAUAAACUAAUUAUGAAUUCUGAGAUUCAAAUUCAAAUGUAA
rnacentral:lncRNA from 1 species